CGCGGGAUGGAGCAGUUUGGUAGCUCGUCGGGCUCAACUCUUUAUAAAAGCUAGACGAAGGUCGUUGGUUCAAAUCCGGCUCCCGCAACCA
rnacentral:tRNA from 1 species